UUUCGACGUAGGUAUAAGACGGGGUAGAGUGACGAAAAUGUGUUCGCACAUUUUUGCGCCCCCUGUAUUAUUUAAAUCGACGACGAACGCGUGCACUUUUCUCCUGGUAGGACGUCGCAAUCCGUUGGGUGUCGGUCUACGGUUCGCGGAGGAGCCCGUUCUGAUAUUUCGAUUGAUGAGCGGACCCGUGUUAUUCCUGACCGACUCGCUCGACGGUAUACAAAUGGUAUGUGGCCGCUCGCUUUGGAGCGUUCGACUCGUGGCAAGCGCGCCCGAUGCGUCGGCGGUCGGACCUAGUGCCGAUCCUGACCUCUGGUGACUGUUGGCCACGAUGUUCUCGGACAGAGCCGAUUACCGAUUUGCGACGCUAUAGCUUUGGGUACUUUCAGGACCCGUCUUGAAACACGGACCAAGGAGUCUAGCAUGUACGCAAGUCAUUGGGAAUCAUUAAACCUAAAGGCGCAAUGAAAGUAAAGGUCUUCCUUGCGAGGACCUAGGGAAGAUGUGCGGUUGACCGUUAAAAGUUGCCGUGCCGCAUUCCCGGGGCGUCUCAUUCUCA
rnacentral:rRNA from 1 species